rnacentral:rRNA from 1 species
UACCAGCUCUCCGAGUGGUGUGGAUGUUUAUUGGGCCUAAAGCAUCCGUAGCUGGCUGGACAAGUCCCCUGUUAAAUCCACCGAUUUAAUCGUUGGUGUGCGGGGGAUACUGUUCGGCUAGGGGACGGGAGAGGCAGACGGUAUUUUCGGGGUAGGGGUGAAAUCCUAUAAUCCCGGGAAGACCACCAGUGGCGAAGGCUGUCUGCUAGAACGCGCCCGACGGUGGGGGAUGAAAGCUGGGGGAGCGAACCGGAUUAGAUACCCGGGUAGUCCCAGCUGUAAACGUUGCAGGCUAGGUGUUUGGACGGCCACGUGCCGUUCUAGUGCCGCAGGGAAGCCGUUAAGCCUGCCGCCUGGGGAGUACGGCCGCAAAGGCUGAAACUUAAAGGAAUUGGCGGGGGAGCACCACAAGGGGUGAAGCUUGCGGUUU